UACGGAGGGGGCUAGCGUUGUUCGGAAUUACUGGGCGUAAAGCGCGCGUAGGCGGACCUGCAAGUCGGGGGUGAAAGCCCGAGGCUCAACCUCGGAACUGCCUUCGAUACUGCGGGUCUCGAGUCCGAGAGAGGUGAGUGGAAUUCCUAGUGUAGAGGUGAAAUUCGUAGAUAUUAGGAAGAACACCAGUGGCGAAGGCGGCUCACUGGCCCGGUAGCUGACGGCUGAGGCGCGAAAGCGUGGGGAGCAAACAGG
rnacentral:rRNA from 1 species